GAUGAACGCUCGCGAUAGGCUUAACACAUGCAAGUCGAGGGGCAGCACAAGGUAGCUUGCUAUCUGGGUGGCGACCGGCGCACGGGUGCGUAACGCGUAUGCAACUUGCCCUAUACAGGAGGAUAACCCGUCGAAAGACGGACUAAUACUGCGUAUGCUCACAACUUGGCAUCAAGUGGUGAGGAAAGAAAUUCGGUAUAGGAUAGGCAUGCGUCCCAUUAGCUUGUUGGUGAGGUAACGGCUCACCAAGGCAACGAUGGGUAGGGGAACUGAGAGGUUUAUCCCCCACACUGGUACUGAGACACGGACCAGACUCCUACGGGAGGCAGCAGUGAGGAAUAUUGGUCAAUGGGCGCGAGCCUGAACCAGCCAAGUCGCGUGAAGGAUGACUGUCUUAUGGAUUGUAAACUUCUUUUAUACGGGAAUAACAAGAGUCACGUGUGACUCCCUGCAUGUACCGUAUGAAUAAGCAUCGGCUAACUCCGU
rnacentral:rRNA from 1 species